rnacentral:rRNA from 1 species
GCCUGCCCAGUGACCCUGUGUUCAACGGCCGCGGUAUUCUAACCACGCGAAGGUAGCGUAAUCACUUGUUUUCUAAUUAAAGACCAGUAUGAAUGGCCACACGAGAACUUAACUGUCUCCCUUGUCCAAUCAGUGAAACUGAUCUCCUCGUGCAGAAGCGAGGAUAUUACCAUAAGACGAGAAGACCCUAUGGAGCUUUAAACUUAAUAUCAACUAUUACACCUGUCUCUCCACGGAAUUAACAAAAACUAAAUAAGUUUGAUACUAGUUUUAGGUUGGGGCGACCAUGGAGAAAAAAAAAUCCUCCCUGAUGAAAAUUUAACCAUGAGCCACAGCUCUAAGUAUUAAGAUACUUAACUCCUAUUGACCCAUUUUAUGAUCAACGAACCAAGUUACCCUAGGGAUAACAGCGCAAUCCACUUCAAGAGUUCAUAUCGACAAGUGGGUUUACGACCUCGAUGUUGGAUCAGGGCAUCCUAGUGGUGCAGCCGCUACUAAAGGUUCGUUUGUUCAACGAUUAAAGCCC